rnacentral:misc_RNA from 1 species
AACGCAUAUUGCGCCCGCUAGUACUCUAGCGGGCAUGCCUGUUCGAGCGUCAUUUCAACCUCAAGCAGAGCUUGGUGUUGGGGCCUUACAGCUGCUGUAAGCCCUAAAAGACAUUGGCGGGCUCGCUAUAACUCCGAGCGUAGUAGUAUCUCUCGCUCAGGAUGUCUUGGCGGGCUCGGGCCGUUAAACCCCCCUAAUAUCGAAAACGGUUGACCUCGAAUCAGGUAGGAAUACCCGCUGAACUUAA